rnacentral:rRNA from 1 species
CGCCUUUUGAAUUAUCAACAUAAAAGGUCCUGCCUGCCCAGUGACAUCUGUUUCAACGGCCGCGGUAUUAUGACCGUGCAAAGGUAGCGUAAUCACUUGUCUUUUAAAUAAGGACCAGUAUGAAUGGCAAAACGAAACCUAACUGUCUCCCUAAGUUAGUCAAUAAAAUUGAUCUUCCCGUGCAGAAGCGGGAAUUAUAAUAUAAGACGAGAAGACCCUGUGGAGCUUUAAACUUAAACUAACAAACUAUAAAUGUACUAGCAUCAGGUUUUAGGUUGGGGCGACCAUGAGGUAUAACACAACCCUCAAGACGAAAACUAAGAAGGACACUUCAAAUAAAUAUUAAUAACGCAAUUGACCCAAUAAUUGAUCAACGAACCAAGUUACCCCAGGGAUAACAGCGCAAUCUACUCAAAGAGCCCUUAUCGACGAGCAGGUUUACGACCUCGAUGUUGGAUCAGGACUCCCAAAUAAUGCAACAGUUAUUAAAGGUUCGUUUGUUCAACGAUUAAAGUCCU